CUUUUCGGCGGAAUCUCGGAUGUCUGAACCCUCUAGAAGGGUAAAAUAUGGUUUUCUAAAACAUUUUUACGUGUUUUGUGGUUUUAAUAAAGAAGAAAAUGAGUUUUUGAAAGAAAAAGACCAAGGAAGAAAACCCAGGUUCGGCAGCCGAACAUGGGGAGUUUGCGGAAGCACCUUUGGCCCCCGAAGAUAGUCUGGCCAGCAACCUAUAAAAGGCCCUUUGUCCGAAAAUGGGCGAGUUUUCUCUCUCUAUUUUC
rnacentral:lncRNA from 1 species